GACAAGGGGGAAGCUGUCUCUUUUUACAAUUUUUGAAUUUUACUUUUAAGUGAAAAGGCUUAAAUAAUUUGGGGGGACGAUAAGACCCUAUAAAAUUUUACAAAAUUGGGAUUUUUUUUUGAAUUAAGGUUUAAAUUCUAUAAGUUCUUAUUUGUUUUGUUGGGGCGGCAAAGAUAAAAAUUAGUAACUGUCAUUUAAUUAGAAUAAUUAUAAUUAGUUUAAUUGAUCCUUUAUUAGAGAUUAAAAGAUUAAGUUACUUUAGGGA
rnacentral:rRNA from 1 species